UUAAUCUUAUUUUUUAUUUUUAAAAUUUUUUUAAUUAUUACCAGCGGACAACCCGCCGGUAAUAAGUAGUACCGGAGACCGAUUUCAAAUUAAUUUAAUACCGGCGGGAUCCCACCGAUAAUACUUAAUACCGGCGGGUUAAUACCGGCGGAUCCGCCGGUAAUAGUUAUAACCGGCGGGUUAAUACCGGCGGACCCGCCGGUAAUAUCGUAGUACCAGCGGGUUAAUACCGGCGGACCCGCCGGUGAUGUCUUAUUACUGGCAGGUUAAUACCGGCGGACCCGCCGGUGAUGUCUUAUUACCGGCGGAGACCCGCCGGUAAUAAUAUUAUAUAGUCUCUCUUGGCAUUUUUUCCCCAUUCGUCUCCCUCACCCGUUUUCUCUCCUUCUCCAUUUUCAGUUUAAUUUUACAGUUCGUUCCCUCUUUCUCUCUUUCGCCAUUUUCAUACUUAUUUUUCAUUUUUAAUUUUUCCAGUAAGAUGUCGUUUAUAUAUAUAUAUAUACUUUGUUUCAGGUGGCUUGUGACAACUUGGGUUGAGUUUCACUUCGAUAAAACUUGGCUGUUUUCUCGACUUUCGUUUACAGUGUUGGGUAGUAUUUCUAUUGCCAUUUUGGUGGAAGAAGACAAACAAGUAUGUGCUGUUCUAUUUAAUAACUGAUUAUUGUGUUCUAUAUAUUAUUGUGUUCUUUAUUAUUUACUAAGAAAACUGAGACUUAUUGUAAAACAUUCUGAAUUGAAUAACAAUUUCUUCAGACUUAUUAUAAUUUAUCAAUUUUAUUUCAUUUUCAAGUGUUUACUUUAUAAAUUCAAAUGGACACUCUUGCUUCAUUAGUCA